GCCUCUAUGGAUCAACGCUAGAUCGCCUCCGCUUCAUAGCAAGCCGUGGAGCAUUGAGGUGUUUCGGGGGAGACGUAGGUUCGAGUCCUACUGGGGGCG